AUUUAUAAUCUGGCACCUUCGGUGUCCGAGUUGUAAUCUCUAGAAAUGUUUUCCGCGUUGGACCGCACACAAGUCUGUUGGAAUACAGCGGCAUAGUGGUGAGACCCCCGUAUAUGGUGCGGACGCCCAGCGCUUUGUGAUACAUUUUCGAAGAGUCGAGUUGUUUGGGAAUGCAGCUCAAAUUGGGUGGUAAAUUCCAUCUAAAGCUAAAUAUUGGCGAGAGACCGAUAGCGAACAAGUACCGUGAGGGAAAGAUGAAAAGCACUUUGGAAAGAGAGUUAACAGUACGUGAAAUUGUUGGAAGGGAAACGCUUGAAGUCAGACUUGCUUGCCGAGCAAUCGGUUUGCAGGCCAGCAUCAGUUUUCCGGGAUGGAUAAUGGUAGAGAGAAGGUAGCAGUUUCGGCUGUGUUAUAGCUCUCUGCUGGAUACAUCUUGGGGGACUGAGGAACGCAGUGUGCCUUUGGCGGGGGUUUCGACCUCUUCACACUUAGGAUGCUGGUGGAAUGGCUUUAAAC
rnacentral:rRNA from 1 species